rfam:Myotis brandtii contig226803, whole genome shotgun sequence.
GUUGGUGUGGCUAAGUGGUAAGAGUAUUGGUUUGUGCACCAGAGGGUCAUGGGUUCAAUUCCCAGUCAAGGGCA